UCCUGGCGGCGAGUGGCGAACGGGUGAGUAAUACAUCGGAACGUGCCCAAUCGUGGGGGAUAACGCAGCGAAACGUGUGCUAAUACCGCAUACGAUCUACGGAUGAAAGCAGGGGAUCGCAAGACCUUGCGCGAAUGGAGCGGCCGAUGGCAGAUUAGGUAGUUGGUGAGGUAAAGGCUCACCAAGCCUUCGAUCUGUAGCUGGUCUGAGAGGACGACCAGCCACACUGGGACUGAGACACGGCCCAGACUCCUACGGGAGGCAGCAGUGGGGAAUUUUGGACAAUGGGCGAAAGCUGAUCCAGCCAUGCCGCGUGCAGGAUGAAGGCCUUCGGGUUGUAAACUGCUUUUGUACGGAACGAAACGGUCUUUUCUAAUACAGAAGGCUAAUGACGGUACCGUAAGAAUAAGCACCGGCUAACUAC
rnacentral:rRNA from 1 species